rnacentral:rRNA from 1 species
AUAUCAAUAAGCGGAGGAAAAGAAACUAACAAGGAUUCCCCUAGUAACGGCGAGUGAAGAGGGAAAAGCUCAAAUUUUGAAUCUGGUGUCUUUGGCGCCCGAGUUGUAAUCUAGAGAAGUGUUUUCUGCCUCGGACCACACAUAAAUUCCCUGGAAUGGGGUGUCAUAGAGGGUGAGAAUCCCGUUUGUGGUGUGGACUACCUUGGCUCUGUGAUACACUCUCAACGAGUCGAGUUGUUUGGGAAUGCAGCUCAAAAUGGGUGGUAAAUUCCAUCUAAAGCUAAAUAUUGGCGAGAGACCGAUAGCGAACAAGUACCGUGAGGGAAAGAUGAAAAGCACUUUGGAAAGAGAGUGAAACAGUACGUGAAAUUGUUGAAAGGGAAGCGUUUGAAGUCAGUCACAUCGGUCGGAAUUCAGCCUGGCUUUGCCUGGUGUACUUUCUGGCAGAUGGGUCAGCGUCAAUUUUGACUGAGGGAAAAAGACUUGAGGAAUGUGGCUGUCUUCGGGCAGUGUUAUAGCCUCUUGUUGUAUGUCUCAGUUGGGAUUGAGGACCGCAGCACGCCUUAUGGCCGGGGUUCGUGCCCUCGGAACGUGCUUAGGACGCUGGCAUAAUGGCUUUAAGCGA